GACGAACGCUGGCGGCGUGCCUAAUACAUGCAAGUCGAACGAAGUGGGGACGGGUGAGUAACACGUGGGUAACCUCCCCAUCAGAGGGGAUAACACUUGGAAACAGGUGCUAAACCGAUACUGAUGGAUGGACACGCGGUGCAUUAGCUAGUUGGUGAGGGACCGGCUAACCAGGGCCACGAUGCAUAACGGACCUGAGAGGGUGAUCGGCCAAACUGGGACUUAGACACGGCCCAGACUCCUACGGGAGUCAGCAGUAGGGAAUAUUCGGCAAUGGACGAAAGUCUGACCGAGCAACGCCGCGUGAGUGAAGAAGGUUUUCGGAUCGUAAAACUCUGUUGUUAGAGAAGCGGUAUCUAACCAGAAAGCCACGGCUAACUACGUGCCAGCAGCCGCGGUAAUAC
rnacentral:rRNA from 1 species